CCCUUAGAUGUUCUGGGCCGCACGCGCGCUACACUGAUUCAUGCAACAAGUUUUGUCCUUGGCUGAUAGGCCUGGGUAAUCUUUGAACGUGAAUCGUGAUGGGGAUAGAUGAUUGCAAUUAUUCAUCUUCAACGAGGAAUUCCUAGUAAACGCAAGUCAUCAGCUUGCAUUGAUUACGUCCCUGCCCUUUGUACACACUGCCCGUCGCACCUACCGAUUGAAUGGUCCGGUGAAAUCUUCGGAUCUGAGAGAUGUCUGAUUAAUUUCGGACGCCUUUUGGAAAAGUUGCUUAAACCUUACCAUUUAGAGGAAGGUGAAGUCGUANCA
rnacentral:rRNA from 1 species